AUCUUACCUCCACUGAGGCCUUCCUGAGAAGCAGAGACCAGAACUAUACAUCUUACUCAAUAUGUGGGUGCACUGAAGUUUUGUGUAACAACAGAAUGACUCCCUUGAGGACAUCUUUUUUUCAAAACCAUUUCUGAUAAAGUUCUCAGGUGCAUUCAUUUGUCCAUUUAUACCUGCAAUAUACAGUUAGAAGAGUGUAAGAUGUCAAUACAUCACUUAGCACAGAACUGGGGAUGACUGGAGGAGCUGUGAGGAUAUUCACCUACACCCUUCCCUGGACCCCUCUCAGUGCGGAUGUACUGCUGACAGCUGAAGUAGUUCUCAUUAUGAAGCCAGCUCGCCCUCGUAAUUUUCUCUUUCUGUCUCAUUCAUAUGAUAAUGCCACACAAGAGAAACUGUGGGUUUAAUUAGCUCUUGAGGUACCCAGGUAGUAAUAACGACUCCUGCUGCAUCAUCUCUCUGACGCUGUUUCCUCUUCCUCUGUUCCUAUCACAGCUGACUGCAGAGUGGGCUACCUACUAAUUGGGAGUGUCUCUCUCAUUAUCUUUUAACAAUCACAUGCCUCCUACUCCCACCUGACUCACUUUCAAAGGCAGCCUGCAUCUGUGACAGCACUCUGCUUCCACGGGGCUGGACUCUGAUAUCAAAACUUCUCCACCAUUGUCGUGAGUCAGAGAAAAGGAAAAGCUGGGAGAAGAAGGGACUGAAUUUCUUUCCUUCACUUUCAUUUAAGGGACAAAACAUCAAAGGAAUAGCUGAAAGACACAAUUACAGAAAUGCAUUAGUCAUCUAGGGGUGUUUUGUUUAGAUGUUUUGCUAGAAAGCAUGAGUUUUUGAAGUCGAAGCUACCUCUAGGCAUUGCUUCCUGCAAUGCCUCCAAAAGGAGAUCAACAAUUGCAAAAAGACCAGGGCUGGGUUUGUAUCACCUAAUUUUAGAUCUCUGUAUUUCUGCAUCUCAGCAAGUCACUCUGGGCUCCCAGUAUUAAUAACUUCUGGGCAAUAAGCCUGCAGAGCACUGGACAUUGAUACAACACACCCAAGGCAGGUGUAGAGUGGUGAUUAUGCCCAGAUUUCACAGGUCUCUUUGACUUGCUCACCAGAGGCUGAGAAAGGAGCCUCCAGUGACAUUUUCACGUGGAAAUACCUUCAUCAGAAACACACACACCGAAUCAGAUGAACUCACCCUUGGUUUCAUGAAGAAAACUGUCUCAGGUCUUAGAAUAAACACAGAUGCUCUGAUAUCAAGUCAGGGUUGAGAAGGUAUGACCCAUCUCACACCUUCUCUCUUUUAUCUUUUUUUUUUUUUCAAGUCACAUAUUCUACUGAAAGCAGAAUUUUAGGAAUUCUCCAUCCUGACAAAUUAAGUUGAAAUUGUCUGCUGGCUGUAUGAAUUAUUAAGGAAGAGCACAUGAACAUAGAAGAAAGAAAAAAUAGAAUACAAUAAAGUAAACGCUGCGUGAUCAUGCAUUGUUUAAGUGUAGUCGCCUUUAGGACUUCAGGCAAGAAGAAGCAAACAGAAUAAGACAUUUUCUAAAGAAUCUGAUUGAAAUAUUUUAGCUUUUUUAAAA